GACGAACCGUGCGAACGUUGUUCGGAAUCAUUGGGCGUAAAGAGCGCGCAGGCGGUCGUGCAAGUCGCGUGUGAAAGCCCCCGGCUACAACCUGGGGAGGGUCACGCGAUACUGCUCGACUCGAAGGCAGGAGAGGGAAGUGGAAGUUCCCGGUGUAGUGGUGAAAUGACGUAGAUAUCGGGAGGAACACCUAUGGCGAAGGCAGCUCGCUGGGACGUUACUGACGCUGAGACGCGAAAGCGUGGGGAGCAAACAGG
rnacentral:rRNA from 1 species